AGUGGAUUAGCUCAGAUGGAAGAGCACCUGUCUACGAAACAGGGGGUCAGGAGUUCGAAUCUCUUAUUCACUGCCA
rnacentral:tRNA from 1 species